UUUGUUUUUUUAAUAAGAUUUUAUAAAAGUAAUAUGCUAACUUUUAUUACAUGCUUAAUUGUAGUUAUGAUAAUUAAGUUACCUUUUAAAUGCAGUUUCAAGUAACCAGUUUCCAUCUGAGUUUGCUUUUUUUUUUUGUUUUGUUUUGUUUUGUUUUUUUGCAGUUGGAGGUUACUCAGUUGGUGCCAAAAGAGUGUGAGAAAAAACUAGACUUAAUAAAGCUGCCCCUAAGGCAAAAGGGAAAACAUUUAUGAGUUGUAGACCUGGUUCAACUAUCCCUAAGGCAAAAGGGAAAACAUCUGUUAAGAACACUGUCAAUUAUGAUGCUAAAUUUAAGGAAAUCGAUAGAAAUAUGAAGGAUAUUCUAUCAAAACAAAGAAGUAUACAUGGUGAGCUUGUUACUUUCAACCAAAACUUUGGAGAAGUUGUGCAGAUGUUAAGUGUUAUUUCAAGUACUAUUACUAGCUUUCAGACCAGUACAGAAAAGUCUGUUCCGCAAGAUGAUGUUCCAUUUCAUAAGGUAUCCUGGUACUUUUUGGUUUAUUGUACCAUUUUGUUUUCAUUAGUAAGACUAUUUUUUAAAUCUGACACUAUUUUAUAUAUUUAUUAAUUUUUUGAGGAGGACAUACCAAGAGAUACUAAGCAAGAUGAUAAUGAUUUUUUGCAUUAUGAUGCUCAAGGUGAUCCUGGAUUCGUUCACUCUUCAAAUAAGGUAAUUGGAGAAGAUGUUGAUUUUAGUGAUGACAUUGUUGAUGUUGUGCAUUCUUGUUUUAAUGCAGCUAUGACACAUAUAAGAUUACGGUUAUGCAAAGAUGGUGAGAAAAUCUUGAUUCCAAAAGAGAUUGAAUUUCAUACUCCUAUUAUUAGUGUGUCUCCUGGUUUGAAGAAGAUGUUGUAUGAGGCGCAACCAUCUCAUAUGAAAAAGUCCAUGGAGAAUGUAGAGAUUAAAAAAACUUGGAUUUUGUGUUAUAUGAGGAGAAAAAUGAUGGGAAAGAUGUGCAGAAAAGGGAGCAUAAGUCGUCAGCUAUUGUUAAGUCACCUUUUAUUACAGAAUUUG